GGGAAGAACAUACGAGCACACAUCAAGGGAUGUACGACAACAACCAUCAGGAGAUAAUGACUUGUACGAGCAUUUGGUUUCUACGAGGAACGGAUCACGAGUGUGCUGUUCUUGAAGAGAUAUAGUCAUUCUUUUGCUAAGUCUAUGGCAGGCUUUUUCAACAUAAGGUCGGAUCGCACGUGAUCAAUCGAGAUUUAAUUUUAAGGUUUCCUAGUUAUUAAGCACAUCAUGGUGCUGCAUAAUGUAUUAUACUAUAUGAUAACUUUUCCUUGUAGAACUUUGAAAUCGGCUUAUAGUAGUGUUAUUCUAACGUUGUAUUUUUUUAUAAAUAUUUCCUUCUUUAAGAAAACAAUUUAUAUUACUUACAGUGGCUCAUGAUAGUAUUCAGACACUUAGCAUAGAAAAUUUUUUGAAUUAUUCAAAAUAUGUUUCAGACUCGUUUCGAAUUUUCCCAAUAACAUGAUAGUCUUGUCUCAAUACAGUGCUAAUAAAAUUUAAAAAUAUUUUCCGUACUACGCAUAAUAAAUUCAUUAAAGUUCCAUUCAUAGUAAGUGUUUAAGUACUUUUAUGUUUAUUUUAUAUUCUUAAUCGUAAACGAAUAAUUACUAAAUCUUCAUUAUAUAUACGUAUAAUCGCUUUCUAAAAUUUCUUCAAAAUGUCCCUAGAUUCUUCCUGGUUAUUUUUGCUUGAGUAUACGGAGUAAUUUUGCAUAGUAUACGGAAUCCAGAAAGGAAAUAAGCUAAAUAAUAAUAAAUAAAAGAGGCUAAAGAAGGAAUUUUCCUGCUAUGCAUCGAACAUGGCUUUCUUCACUUCAGAUUCGGUAGAAAAUAGCACUUUAGUCGAUGGACUCGCAACGGCGAGUCGGAACCGGCCGGCGCCAAAAAGUCAAUUACGACAGUGCAGCGGCAAGAAUGCAGGAACAUCGGUAACGAACACGUUGAUCCGGUUCCACGGGGCAGAGGACAUACACGCUCGGCAAUUCCUAUUUAUUUUUAGCGAUUUAUUCUUUUACAACACCCCGUCGUCCUCGUAGACACCAACUCGACCAGAUGAAAUUAUAAUGCAUGCAGGCUCAGGGAAAAGAGACUGAUAAUCACGAACACAUCGGGCUGACCUAUAAAAUGGCUUUACUGGCUUCUGCCUUCCUUGUUAACCGAUUUAAGAAUAUACCGCGACCAAGAGACGCCUAUAAGAAUCGAUGAUUGUUUGCAAUUUAAACAUUUACGUAAAGCAAUUAUAUUAGGAAUAUAAUCUAAUGACCUUUAUUUCAACAGUUAUUUCUAGAUUGAAGAUCAUCGCCAGUUGUUUAGCGAAUUUAUAAUGUAAGUUUUUAAUUACGAAAUUUUAUAAGAGAGAUAGAAAGAACAAAGAGAAAGAUGUGAAGCGUCAGAAGUUUAUAGAGAAAACGGAUAAGAUAAAGAACAAGACGAGCCACUCUGUUUACAAAGUCGGAGGUGUACUAGAACGCAGAGUAGGAUGGAAAAGGGAUCGAUAGCACGAAGAACACGUGCCGUAUAACCCUAAGCAUCAGAAGUGACUAUAUUGCAGAAUUAUGUGGCUCUAUCUAGGCGCGGUUGUAAAAGGGAGUUGGAAACCUGGCGUUCAUUCGUAAUUCAAACUGUUACCGCGUGACCGACCAUGCGACAUCUAAUGGCACCACUGACGCAGAAUCGAUCUUUGACGGUUUUAAUAACGUUAGCAAACUCGACCUUUGGAAUUCUACCAAAAAUGACCAAAUGCCUUCGAAAUUGAAUAACCCUUUAGAUUAUAUUUCCUUAAUUUUAUUAACAUCAUAGUUGACUUUUAUUUAUUUUAUUUAUUUAUUUUUCCCUAGAAAUGAUUGUUGGAAAACCUAACCUAAAUAUUAUCACAAAAAUAUUAAAGGUUUAUAAUUUAUAAUUUUAAACAAAAGAAUUGUAAUGGUAGCUAAUGCUUUUCCAUAAUUUAUCUGUUUUAGAAACAAACUUAAAUGUACAUUUAAUUCGAAGUAAAAAUAUUCCGGCAGAAGAGGACUUAUUGUAUUCGCACAACGAACUGCCUCCAACUGGACCGAACUGGAACUACGCAGUAUCGUUUUUUGUUUGGCCUGGAGAUACCGAGUUCCAUGUGGAACGCUCACAGGAACUCAUGCGAGAGGAGUCGGAAAAUCUUCGGACGUCUCUUUAUGCAAAAAUAUAAAGAACACGAUGGAGGACGCAGAAAUUGGAACGCUCCGUGAUCUAGGACGCAAUUUGGCAAAUUGGACUUGCACAUACUCGCGAGAUAAAGCACAAACAUUCUAAAUAAGAAUGAAGUUAGCAGGCUGAAUAAAUGACCAAAUUUUUCACAUAAUAACCAAGCAUAUUUAUCACGAACUCAAUUUGCACAUGAAGUUUCUAUGUCCAUCCAAUUUUGUCACAUUAAUUCACUCGCAUGCUAACCAACAAGCUUAGAAGAUAAAUGAAUUUCAAAUAUGGGUCGCUUAAAAGACAGUCGUUGCAUCUUCUGAUAAACUCAUCAGCCUGAUGUAAGAGAGUAGAGCUAGAGAGUUUUUCCAAUAGGAAUACAUUACAAUUUUUCUGCUCCAAUAAGUCCAGCAGAUAAGUGAAACUACUGAGGAAUUGAAUAACUUCGUACAUGUUUUAUAAUUCUUGGAAAAAGUACGUAUACACGAAUAUAUAAAAGCACGUAAUAUACAAAUUGUUCGGUUUUAGUGAUAUAAAAUGUUUACAAGAAAUUAUUCUGAGUGAUUAAAUCAAAUAUUAUUCAGAUUAAAAGGUUUGACCUACAAAAUGAACAAUAUCGAUGAGUCCCAUAAGCAUUGGAAAGAAGUUAUCAAUCGACUUAGAAUUAACAGAAGUUAUCAAUUGACUUAGAAUUAACAGAAAGUUAGUCAUUUAACAAGACCAACAAAUAUCCAAAUCUGUUAACCGUAACCAACAAAAACCAAUUCCGUACACGAGUUACUUAAGUGAUUUUUCCUCUAGCAUAACCUUCUGUCUUGUCCUCGAGUUUCGAUAUUAUCUCGAGCUAAACGAGACAUGCAGCGCUUGAAAUCCGAUAUCGGAAAGGCCAGUAGCUAAACAAACAUAAACGUUCAGAAGAUACCAAUAUUUAUAAAGGUGAAUAAGAUUUGUAGUCUAUAAUAGAAGAUAAAAGUGCCUUUUUCAACAAAGUUGUCAACUUAAUCUUCUCUAAAUGACUUUCAUCAGAUAGACGUGAAAAACAUAAUGAAACUUCCCAACCUAUACAAAACGACUCCUUUAUCACGUAACUUCAAUGAAUAAGGGAAACUUUGAUAAAAAAAAAAUUUUUUAGUCUUUGGUUACUCUUUUACAAAGACCGUAAUUUUCAUACUUAAUUCGACUAAUUCAAUGACGUAACAAAAUUCAGGUUGCCGCCUGAAAUAGUAUCUAACUUGAUCGCAUGCAAUUCUGAUGGGAAUACACCUUCAGACCUAACACAUACAAAGAAAAUGAGCGGGUAAGAUCUUCGAAGAUGGAGCAAAUUCAUUGAUUGAAUGACAAGUACAGAACAAGAGAAAUUCUUCCGCCAUCUUUUUUCGUCUUCAAGUUUCCAUAGUAACCACAUCAGAUGAGCCCAUUAACAAUUUUCUUGGAAAAUCACUAGGGUUAUCCCUACCUAUGUUGGAACAAACUUAACACAUUCAUAAUAACAAAACAAUUUAAUCCUACAAGUGAAGUAAAAAAAAUUAAAAUUCGAAGAGGAUGAGUUUUUUGAGUUAUUUGAAAAGGUUAGUUAAACAAAAAUAAAGUAGGCUACACAGUGCUUCAUCUCGAUUCGAGCGAUUAUUUCGGGUCAGGUGUUUUCAUGGAUUUCUGUAACAAUUUCGUACAACACUGUUUUGCAUCGUGAUGUUAAAUAAUAUCAAACGAUCCAACUACGUGCUCCCUACGUGUACAUUAAAAUGCAUUUUUUUUGGCACCUAAUUACAGUCCAAAAAUUACACAUAAUUACACACCAUUGGAAUUCGUAAGGAUGCCUGUUGCGAACAAAUUUCGCCUUACACGAAUAAUAUUGUAUAGAAAGUCAACAUGCAUGAGAAUUCUAUGAUGAUUCAACGUAACUCAAAAGAAAUGUUAUUUGAAUUAUCGGUUAAUAAUUUGAUGGUAAUAUAAUGUAACUCCCCAGAACGAUUACGGGCAUUUUAAAUUAAUUGAAUAAACCUACCUAAUUCUCGACAGAUGUAAGCUACAAAGCAGCAAUGGGUACGCGAGGUCACACGACCUACCAUUUCGAUGACGAAUCGGUAAAAUUAUAAAUAAGCUACAACACUGCAUACGAAUCCGUAUACAUCAUAGUGGUAUUUGCCAGCAGCUGUAACAAAGCCGAAACUGAUGAAGAAUAAAACGUCAAUAGAAUUGUAAUUAUUUGAAAAGACAAUCUUUUAAAAUCAAGUCAAAUG
rnacentral:lncRNA from 1 species